AGGUGUGCAGGGAGCUCUCACCCCCCAUCCCCACCCUCCAGAAGGGACACAGGGCCCCCCAGUUCAUCCCCAGACCCCCCACCAUGGAUAGUAGACGCCCCACCACUCCCCCCGUCUAAGUGUUCUCCUAAAGGGCUCCAGUCCCAGUCCUAACCCUAACCUUCCCCAGCUGUUAGGAAGGAGCUGAGACCUGCAGCCUGUCUACCAGAGUACAAGAGGGAAAUCCUCCAUGAGUUGUCUGAAAUCUGCAGAAAGCUGCUCAGCCAACAGAGACGCGUGAAGGGACAGAUGAUCAGAGUGGGAGAAGCUGGACUCUCUUAUGAGUGACAGGUAACACCCUCCAGGACUGUAAGGACAAAAGAUGGCUACGGUGGGGUCUGUGUGUCCCCCCCACAGUACCGGUUUUCUUGACAGGCGGAAAGAGCGCCGCCAGGUGGACGUGGCCAGACUGCGUCGCAGACAGUGACAUCAGGCACGGCUACGAUUAUUUUGCCAUCCCAAAAACCAAAACAUUAUUUGAGGGAUCCCGGGGCAUGGAAAACAUACUCGGAAAGACCUGGGGCAUGGUCUUGGCCAUGACACAUCCUCCAAUCAGAGUCAGGCAGAGCGGGUCCAGGAGCUCCACAACCGAACCAGGAGACUGCCAGCUCUGAGGCUCCGUGGCAGGAGA